rnacentral:lncRNA from 1 species
UCAUCAUGAGGGCGAUGAGUUAGAGUGAAAUUAUUCUGAUCUAUUGAAAAGAGUUUCAACGAUAUAAUGAUAGGAUCAUUGUAUAUCUGACUACUAAAUAGAAUUGAACCUAUGGGGUCACACAACAAAGAGAUUAGGUAUGAAAUAAUAAAUUGAGCUUAUGAAGUGUCAAUUGGGUUUAGAAAAAUCUAUUGAAUUCAUGGUAACCUUGCUAGC